rnacentral:rRNA from 1 species
GAUGAACGCUGACAGAAUGCUUAACACAUGCAAGUCGAUGGGGAAGUGGUGCUUGCACCAUGGCAACCAUGGCGGACGGGUGAGUAACGCGUAAGGGACUUACCUGCAGGACUGGGAUAACAGGGGGAAACUCCUGACAAGACCGGAUAAUGUCAUGGAGCUGCAUGGCUUUAUGAUGAAAGGAGACGCCUGCGGAGAGCCUUGCGUCCUAUUAGCUAGUUGGUGAGGUAAUGGCUCACCAAGGCGAAGAUAGGUAGCCGGCCUGAGAGGGUGGACGGCCACAAGGGGACUGAGAUACGGCCCUUACUCCUACGGGAGGCAGCAGUGGGGAAUAUUGGACAAUGGGGGCAACCCUGAUCCAGCAAUUCUGUGUGCACGAAGAAGGUUUUCGGAUUGUAAAGUGCUCUCAGCAGGGAAGAAGUAAGUGACGGUACCUGCAGAAGAAGCGACGGCUAAAUACGUG